GCGGAGGGAUCAUUACCGAGUUUACAACUCCCAAACCCCUGUGAACAUACCAAUUGUUGCCUCGGCGGAUCAGCCCGCUCCCGGUAAAACGGGACGGCCCGCCAGAGGACCCCUAAACUCUGUUUCUAUAUGUAACUUCUGAGUAAAACCAUAAAUAAAUCAAAACUUUCAACAACGGAUCUCUUGGUUCUGGCAUCGAUGAAGAACGCAGCAAAAUGCGAUAAGUAAUGUGAAUUGCAGAAUUCAGUGAAUCAUCGAAUCUUUGAACGCACAUUGCGCCCGCCAGUAUUCUGGCGGGCAUGCCUGUUCGAGCGUCAUUUCAACCCUCAAGCCCCCGGGUUUGGUGUUGGGGAUCGGCGAGCCCUUGCGGCAAGCCGGCCCCGAAAUCUAGUGGCGGUCUCGCUGCAGCUUCCAUUGCGUAGUAGUAAAACCCUCGCAACUGGUACGCGGCGCGGCCAAGCCGUUAAACCCCCAACUUCUGAAUGUUGACCUCGGAUCAGGUAGGAAUACCCGCUGAACUUAAGCAUAUCAAUAAGCGGAGGAAAAGAAACCAACAGGGAUUGCCCUAGUAACGGCGAGUGAAGCGGCAACAGCUCAAAUUUGAAAUCUGGCUCUCGGGCCCGAGUUGUAAUUUGUAGAGGAUACUUUUGAUGCGGUGCCUUCCGAGUUCCCUGGAACGGGACGCCAUAGAGGGUGAGAGCCCCGUCUGGUUGGAUGCCAAAUCUCUGUAAAGUUC
rnacentral:rRNA from 1 species